CAAACAGAGCCCAAAAAACAAAAGAUGCUUUCUUAACUCUUUCAAAUAAGCUACAAAUGUAAGCAAAUGAUGCCACUUAUUUACAGAGGACAUACAUUACAUGUAUUGACAUCCUUUAUUUUCUAAGUGCAAUGUUCUUUCAGAGGUUUAAAGUUAUACAUGUCACUGUUCUUUCCAGAUGCGUCCUGCCACUUUCAGCCUCAGCUCCUGCUGAUCAACCCCGGAAAAGAAAAGUGCCAUAUUUCUCUGAAUGAUUAGUCCGUCUUCGCUAUCUCGAACUUUCUUAUGGCUAUCACGGAUGCUUCUUGGAAUUCCUUGCCAGGUAAGCUUUCUGCCAUUUCCACCAACUUCCAGGCUGUAACUAAAUUGCCUUGCCUCGUCUUCAUUGCCCAUGAAUCUCAGGAAGGCCAUGUAAACAGGUGCCAUUCCUAGUUGAAACGCCUCGAAGUGCAAGCAAAACUGUCUGCCAAAGCAAUUGAAAACAGUUAACAUCCAAGUAGCAUUAUCAAUUUCUUGGGGAUUGGAUUUGACAUAUCUGUGAUUGAAGGUACACCCAUCAUGCAUGUCAACCUUGUGAUCAUUCUUGAGAUGCGCAACAAGAAGUGGAAUGUCACCAAUGACAGAACAUUCAGCUCCAGCAUAUGGGCAGUUGUACGGACGAUAUUUGCAGUUCUUUUCAUGCUUUAGCUUGCUGUAGUAUGGAGAUAUAUCGGGGCAACCUACAAUCUGAUAUUUGCAUGGGAGUUCAAGUGACUCGGCAACUUUCUCCAGAGCCAAGCACCUUAUAUUUCCAAGCUCUCCACGGCAAGUGGGGCAAAAGUUGUGUACUCGAGCCUUGCAGUAUGAACAUAGAGUAUGACCAUUGGGACACUGACAUAGAAAAUUCGUAAUUUAGCCAUUGCAAUAAGAUAACAAUUGGACAACUAUGCCUAUUGUGAAUUGGUAGAUUUGACCAAGUCUAUCGAUUGGAAGAGUGCCAUGCUUGCCAGUAAUUAUUAUGUCAAAGACUUUCACAAGUAACACAUAAUUGAACAUCAUCCUGCUACCAUUAGAAUAGCAAAAGGUAAUCCCUUUUCUUCACUUUAGAGUGGAAAUCAAAACGAACUUUGGAGACAUUUCUACCAACUUAAAACUGCAAAUUGAUGCUAAUAAGUUCCAUUUUUCAAGAAAAUUUUCUCUCUGUUUACUCAAAGAGGAUCCUAUAUAUUCUUAAAGAGAAUAGAAAACUAUGGAAUUUCUAGUUUUGAUAAUGAAAAAGUUAUACCUGGUAAAUUGGAGGGCACAUUAAACUCAUGCAGACAGGACAUUCAAGCAGGUUCUGCACAUCACUAAUUGAUGAUGUUCCAUGAUUACCACCCAAACAAGUUGCUGGUUUUGUGAAAGGGGAAACUUUGAAUUCUGCAUUGGAAGUUGAUGAUUCAUAGUCUGCAAAUGCAAUGCGUGACUCUAUCAUCUCCUUAGAGAUGAUACCUCCACGGCCCAUUAUCUCCUAGCUCAAUUGUCAAUGCCAGCACUAUUGUCUCUUAAUUAAAAUAAGUACCACAGUCAUAGUUUUCUGGUAUCAAUGAAUAGGCUUACCUGUCAAAUAUAAUUAACUUAAAUCAAUUUCUGUGUGUCAAGGUUCAAUUUUAAGGAAUUCUGUUCCCAGUUUUCUCUCUUUAGGUUGAGAAUAAAGAAACACAUUACAAGAUGCUAAAACAUGAAAGCAGUUUGAAAAUAUUGCUUAGGGAGGUGAUAUACAAGAUUAAAAUAACUAGGUCCGACUAGGGAAGAAAAUUAAGGAGAUAUUUCACUAUGACAUAAAGAGUUUUUCACUUAGGUUUGUUUCAUUAAGUUCAUAAUUUAAGCUACUUGAUUUUCUACACAAAAUUAAGAAAAAGUUGAGAAUAAAAGUUUAAUCACUGUUCAAUUGACUGCAUAUUGCACAUAUUAUACUAAUAAAUUUUCAUAUUAAGAUGCUCAGUGUGAUGUAUAAAUGAGGAGUACAUAGCCUUUACUAAAAUUUCCUAAAAUGACAGUAUUAUGAUCAUGCUUAAAACAGUACAUCAGGUUAGAUAAUGAAAGAACAGCCUUAAAAAAGGAAAGGCAUGCAGGCCCAAGUUUAGAAAGGAGGUACAAAAAAAGACAUAGUGACCAGCAAACCUAUAGACCAAACUUGGUGACUUCUCGAUGAGAUCGGUACAACUCUUACACACCGUUGACAGAAUCUAGAGCCCAGGUAUUGAUAUGGAUACAGAAAAAUAGCCAAGAAAUUAAAUGGCCAUAGAAAAUAAAGCCAGAAACUGCAAACCAAAGAGAUAGAAAGAAGUACUGUCAUUUUUAUGACGAUCACGGACACACCACAAAUGAAUGUCGACAAUUGAAAGAUGAAAUAGAAAGGCUCAUUCAGUAAGGAAACCUCAUAAGGUUCACUAAAAUAGAAGGGAGGCUGGAUAAAACAAAAGUCAGGAGUCAAGAAAAACACAAUAAAGAAGAGCCCAUUAUAGUCAUCAAUGUUAUAGUAGGAGGACCAAAAGGUAAUAAAGAUAAUGGUAGAAGGAUAGCUGGAGCAGUAAGCUCAGAGAAUGUAUUCUCUGUUAAUACAAAAUCCUUCUCCAAAGAUCUGAUCACCUUUGGACCAAAAGACUAUGAAAAUAUUAAAAGACCUCAUUCUGACCCUUUGGUAAUUAAUAUUUUAUUGAACAGGUAUAUGGUACGGAGAGUUCUCGUCGAUAAAAGCAGUUUGAUCAACCUGAUCACACUAGAAGUUUAUGAAAAGUUAGGGUUGAAAAGAGCUUAUCUCACCAAAGUAAUUUUCCUUUUGGUUGGGCGAGGAGACGAGACCACCCCAGUAGCUAGAAGAACAAACCUAACAGUAAUUUUGGGUGGCAAAGUCCACAAGCAAUCCAUAAAUGCGAAGUUUGUAGUAGUGGAUAUCCCACUUUCCUACAAUACAAUCUUGGGACAGCUAAUUUUAAAUGGUAAUUUCGAAAAUUGUAUUGCAGAUACCUGAUGCAAGUGGCAUUCUUUGUAAUCUUAACAGAACCUAAUGGAAGUCCAUGAAGCUCUAAGUAGCAUGCAUCAUUUUAUGCACCAAACAGUGUUAAAAUAGCUAAACAAAGAAUUCAUAUGUUGAUGCUCAUACAAAUAUCAAAAUUCCCAUAUAGGAUGAUAUAACAUGUUGACAUUUAACCAAAAACCUAUUGUAUGAUCAAGCUGAGGGAGAUCAAAAGCUCUUUUCUGAUAAUUUCACAAAGCAGGCAUAGCCAAAAGUCUCAUUUUUUAGGGCAUCUACUAUGAAACAAGAUUGGUACAAAACCACUGAAAGAUUCAUCUACUUGAAAGAAAUUGUAUAAUUUCAAAAUGAGCAGUUUGAAAGGGCAAUGUAAACCAAAAAUAACUGAAAAUUUUGAAAAUUUGUGCAUUGAACACCAAUUCUACUGAAACUGACAUUUUUUUUUUUUUGUAUUUUCUAAAAAAUGGAACGCAGGUAAGUAUCCCACAACCCAUCAGAAACAUUGCAGCAUUUCACCCACGCACAUCUCACUGCACCUGCGUUGAAACUUAGGUUACCUUUGGGAAAGGGGUCAUGGAAAAUACAUAUGCCGCAAAUCCAAACUAUGAUUAGUAGCACUCAAACACACUAACCUUUUGGGAAUGCUCUGAGUAGCUUAGCACUAAAUUAACUUGGCCAUCCCUUACAGUAUCCCACAAUGCUAAUUUAUCUUCUUUUUUCUUUUUUUCAUUUUUUAAGAACAAUGGUGACAAAAAUAGCACAAAAAUGGCUUAGAUAUCAAAAAGUCUGGAGAUUCCACUUUUCAAAGCAAAUUUCGGGAGAACAGAGACCACCCAGAUUGAAACUAAGCUCGAAUUACCAUUUCAAGUUUGAAACAAGCAACUGAACAAUCAAUCUAAACCAAACACCAUUUCUAGCAUCUAACUGACGAUCAAUUUCAAGCUCUGAUAAAAGAUAUAAGCACAGAAUUUGAAACUUGUUAACCAGCCCUAAGCAAAACAAUGACCAAAAUUAAGAGAGAGAGAAUGGAAUAAAAUCUGAGCAAAAAAUUCAAUACCCAGAUGAGGAAAAGAGCCCAGAAACUUGAUCAACCACCAAAAAUUGAUUCCCAACAGUGUAAAAAACAGACCAAGUAACGGUAACACCCAGCCAGAUGAAUACCGAAUCCAAAAUCUUGAAUAUUCAAUCAAACUCGAGCACCCAAUAAUUGCAUCAUCUUUGACACCCAAAAGUCCAAAGAAAGCUUGAUAAGAAGCUAAGAAACGUUGUGAGGUGGAGGAAGGAGCGCGAUUGCAGGCCCUCCCGCAAAUUGCGUGUCCCAGCUUGGAACAAACUUCGCGACGCAAAGAGUCAAAGAAAUUGGAUCUGCCAAUCCAUGCAGUGACAUAUAUAUAUCGAAAUCAUUAAAUUUUUAGAAGAAUUAUUAAAUUUCUAUUUGUAUUAGGCUAAGUAAUUAAAUCAUAUUCUUUAUCUUUCAUUGCAGAAUUUAAAAAAUUAGCUAAA
rnacentral:misc_RNA from 1 species